AUCAAUAGCAAUUGGUUGUUGGUGCCAGUACAGUUUUAAAGGCACAUAGAAAACCAGAGAGGGACAGCCGGACAUACUUCUGCUGCUGUCAGAGAAAUAUCAACAAAGCCGGUGGUUUUCGUUCUGUGGAUUUAACUUUUACACCUACAAGUAUAAAUUAGGAGAGAUUCUUCCAAGUGACUCCCUGGAGGUGCCAAAGAACCCGCCAUGUCAGUGACUGUUCAUGAGAAUCGUAAAUCCCGCACCAGCACGGGCUCCAUGAACAUCUCACUCUUCCACAAGCCUUCACAUCCCGAUAGUGUCCUGACCCACCUGAACACAAUGAGGAAACAGUGCAUGUUCACUGAUGUCACUCUAUGGGCCGGAGAUCGGUCCUUCCCAUGCCACAGGGCUGUCUUAGCAGCGUGCAGUUGUUAUUUUGAGGCCAUGUUCAGCGGAGGGCUACGAGAAAGUCUGGAUAGUGACGUCAAUUUCAGAGACAGUAUACACCCUGAGGUACUACAAACUAAAGAAAAUUAAACCUUAUUUUUCCUGUUGAA